GCUGAGUGUACAUGGGAAGUUCCUAACAUCUGAGCUACAGAGAGCCUGCCUUCAUAAACUGGUGUUAGAUUCCUAUCAUCCUCGUUUGAUUUCAUGAUUUCUUUAGAUUUUGCUGACUGCUGAGCCCAAAGUACAUUUCCAACAAGUCUCUCUAAAUCGUGGGACUUUAUUUCUGCAACCAGCCGAGUAAACAAGCUGACUGCUGAGCCAAAAGUACAUUUCCAACAAGGUAAUCUGUCUAAUAUAUCUGUAUAAUAUAGUUAUUUGGGGAUUUUAUUUUAAGGAUU